GCAACCCUGAUCUAGCCAUGCCGCGUGUGUGAUGAAGGCCCUAGGGUCGUUAAGCACUUUUGCCAGAGAUGAUAAUGACAGUAUCUGGUAAAGAAACCCCGGCUAACUCCGUGCCAGCAGCCGCGGUAAUACGGAGGGGGUUAGCGUUGUUCGGAAUUACUGGGCGUAAAGCGCACGUAGGCGGAUUAGUAAGUUAGAGGUGAAAUCCCAGGGCUCAACCCUGGAACUGCCUUUAAUACUGCUAGUCUUGAGUUCGAGAGAGGUAAGUGGAAUUCCGAGUGUAGAGGUGAAAUUCGUAGAUAUUCGGAGGAACACCAGUGGCGAAGGCGGCUUACUGGCUCGAUACUGACGCUGAGGUGCGAAAGUGUGGGGAGCAAACAGGAUUAGAUACCCUGGUAGUCCACACCGUAAACGAUGAAUGCCAGACGUCAGCAAGUAUACUGGUUGGUGUCACACCUAACGGAUUAAGCAUUCCGCCUGGGGAGUACGGUCGCAAGAUUAAAACUCAAAGGAAUUGACGGGGCCCCCAAGCGGUGACAUGUGGUUAAUUCAACACCGCAAACCUACAACCUGCAUCUGGCUCUACAAAUGGACGUCCUUUCGGACGCAUGAAGUCUAUGGUUCGAACUCGUCUAAUGUCGUAAUCGGACACCACCAUUUUAUUCCCAGUACUGGCCUUAACCGCCGUACGAGAAGUUGAUACUAACCAGGCCUCGUGGGCCCU
rnacentral:rRNA from 1 species